AUUCCUACGGGAGGCAGCAGUAGGGAAUAUUGGACAAUGGGCGAAAGCCUGAUCCAGCAACGCCGCGUGCACGAUGACGGUCUUCGGAUUGUAAAGUGCUUUUAAGGGAGAUGAGAAAGGACAGUAUCCCUUGAAUAAGCCUCGGCGAACUACGUGCCAGCAGCCGCGGUAAAACGUAGGAGGCGAGCGUUAUCCGGAUUUAUUGGGCGUAAAGCGCGUGCAGGCUGUUUGGAAAGUUGGAUGUGAAAUCUCCUGGCUUAACUGGGAGGGGUCGUUCAAAACUACCAAGCUAGAGAAUGGGAGAGGGAAGUGGAAUUCCGGGUGUAGUGGUGAAAUGCGUAGAUAUCCGGAGGAACACCAGUGGCGAAAGCGGCUUCCUAGACCAUUUCUGACGCUCAGACGCGAAAGCUAGGGGAGCGAACGGGAUUAGAGACCCCGGUAGUCCUAGCUGUAAACGAUGUAGACUUGGCGUUGGCGGAGUUAAAUCUGCCAGUGCCGGAGCUAACGCGUUAAGUGAUCCGCCUGGGGAUUACGGUCGCAAGACUAAAACUCAAAUGAAUUGACGGAAU
rnacentral:rRNA from 1 species